AAAGCGCAUGUAGGUGGUUUAAUAAGUUUGAUGUGAAAGCCCUGGGCUUAACCUGGGAAUGGCGUUGAAGACUGUUAGACUCGAGUCGAAGAGAGGGUUGUGGAAUUUCCGGUGUAGCGGUGAAAUGCGUAGAGAUCGGAAAGAACACCAGUGGCGAAGGCGGCAACCUGGCUUCAGACUGACACUGAGGUGCGAAAGCGUGGGGAGCAAACAGGAUUAGAUACCCUAGU
rnacentral:rRNA from 1 species